CCAGGGGCACCCAGAAGGUGCCAGAUUUCCGAGGAGGGAGGAGGAAAUCAAAGGACAAUUGACUUGAAAGGCCAGCCCAUCAGUGCAGAGGACAGGCCUCUCCUGCUUCACUGUUUCAUCUAUACAGGCUCGCUCCCUUUAUGUCAAUAAUUGGCAUUAGAAAUUGACCGCACAUUACAAGUAUUUUAUGAGUGAUACACAAGUAUUUUAUGAGUGAUACACAUAUAAAGUUGCCCCAGAUGCUGCUGUGCAAGGCAAUUUGGUUUGCUCUGCUCACCUUGGAGUUAUCAUAGGUAAAGAAACGUUUUCCAACGGGAAAAAAAAAUACAAAUGGAAUUUAUAUAUAAUAAUUGAUGGCAUUAAUCGAAAUAGGCCCUUUUGAAAACAAACAAACAAAGUGAGGAGAGCAGAAAACUUUUAACAAAACUACACUGGGCUUCCCUACUGGUCCAGUGGUUAAGACUCUGUGCUUCCACUGCAGUGGGCAUGGGUUCCAUUCCUGGGCAGGGAACUAAGAUCCCAUAGGCAGGGCAGUGCAACCAAAAAAUAAAUAAAUAAAAAUAAAGACCACCUCUGGACUUACACAGUCCAAUACCACUAGCCACAAGUGGCUGAGUAAAUUAAAGUCCAAUUCCUUGGUGUCACUAGCCACACUUCAAGUACUCAAUAUCCACUUGUGGCUAAUGGCAGCUGUGUUCUUUAGGGCCAAUGAAAGAACAUUUUUUAUCAGGACAGGGUUUUGUCGGACAAUGUUGUUACAGACUUUGCUAUUGUUUUUGGAAGGCUACAUCAAGCAUUACAGUUUUGAUACAUUCAACACUGAGUCACUUCCAAAUCCUUAAAAAAAAAAAACAGCUAUCACAGAAAGAUUCACUCAUGUCCCAGAUUUUAUCAUGUUACUAACAGUAUGCUAAGUGAAAUCAUAAAGGAUUCAAACUUUAAUGACUUAGGUGUGUUUGGUAUUAAGAAAUAUUAACAUGGCUUAAAUGGCCUUUUCAUUGUCUCCAACUAUUGCUGAGUAGGAAAACCAGGGGGAGUCACUCAAUUUAAAGUAGGAAAGGAUUCUAAGACGUUUUAAAAAUAGUCCUAGGGUGGCAUAAUUGUAGGUAGGCUGACUGAUUUCUGUCCUCCCACCCUCUCUGCUCCUUUUUACUGCUUUCUCAUCUACACCCUCUUCCCCCCUACACUUCCUGAAGGUGAGGCAUAUUUUAUCCUUUGCAUUCAAAUACAGCUCUCCCUCAGGAGAGAGACAGAACCACUGCACUUUCCAGGGGAGCCAUUGGAACUGACAACUAGUCCAACCAAUAAGGAUUAGUAGUGGUUAACUAGAGUAUGUCUAUGUUCAUUUUCCUGGUCCCUUCCAAGUCCCGUUAUGACAAGGACUUUCUUAAAGCUAAAUCUUAGUCAUAAAAUUGUAUUCUAAUGGUGAAAUUCCAGAUGCCAACGCCAAUAUUCAGGUGCCGGGAGACAUUUGGGAGUGUUACACUGGAUGGCUAACUACUAAAAACAAACAAAAACGUUUACCUUCAUGUCAGGCAUAAAUAGUAUAGUAGAAAAGGCUUGUUUGGACCUUCUGUCCCUCCAGAUAUGAGAUCAACCUCCCCAUGCAGUUUGGGAACAGAUUCUGCUGGAUAUGUAUCAUCCAAAGCUUGUGACGCUUUCCCAGCUCAGUGACUGAAAGAUUCCAAGUCUACCUUUUUGAACAGUUUAUCAGCCGUGUGAGUUUGACACGUUCCCGAGCGUCUUAAAGAGCAACAUGAUUGGCUGAAUUCUAAGAUGGACCAGAUGAUCGCCAGCUUCUGACAUUCACUCCUCUGUGUGAUCUCCUCCCGAAUCUUGCCAACCGGGGUCUGUGUAACAGUAGGACAAGCCAGAAGUGAUAGUGUGUCAACUUGGAGAUCAGGUUAUAAAAGACAGUGCUCUCCCUUCCUUCCCUUCCCUGCCCCCUCCGUCUCUCUCUUCCUAAUUAUUUACUCUGGAACAAGUCAAAAGGCCACAGGAAAAAGAAACUGAAGGCUUCUUCCAACAGCCACCUGGCCCCAGCUCCAGUGCAUAUCUGAUUGCAGCCUCAUGAGGGACCCUGAGCCAGAUUACCCAACCAAGCUGCUCCCAGAUUACUGACCCCAGAAACUCCACAAGGAUAGGGCUAGAACUGAACCCGAGUCCUGGAGCUCGUUAACGACAGAGUCCACCCGGGACUUCUCUCUCCUGCUACUGGUAAAGCCCUUUUGCUGCUACAUGUGCUUCUUUCCUGAUCGGCUCUCAAAAACACGUCUUCAGCUCUGAAGAAUUUGGAGGAUUCCUUAGCCUGACACUUAAGACCAAGCAGCUCUAAAACCGCCUGCAGCCUCAUUCUGCCGAGAAAACUGUCCUGCGUCUCCUACUCUCACACUGUUUCCAAAAGGUUUCCAGGACAUUGACCAGCUGGUAAAAGCUUCAAAGAAUUAUUUCUCCAAGUUUGAUAAAAGCCCCUUGGCUUUCCUUGUGCUGACUCUCAAAAUUUCUCCUUCACCAUCACCAUGCCAGAAUACCAUUUCCAAAUUUGCUGCAUGGAAAGAAGAAUGACUUGGAUUCAUCAUUUUCCCCUCCACAUUUAACAUCCACAUCAUCUGAGCUUUCU